AGUGGACGCUGGCGGUAGGCCUAACACAUGCAAGUCGAACGGCAGCACAGUAAGAGCUUGCUCUUACGGGUGGCGAGUGGCGGACGGGUGAGGAAUACAUCGGAAUCUACUUUUUCGUGGGGGAUAACGUAGGGAAACUUACGCUAAUACCGCAUACGACCUACGGGUGAAAGCAGGGGACCUUCGGACCUUGCGCGAGUGAAUGAGCCGAUGUCGGAUUAGCUAGUUGGCGGGGUAAAGGCCCACCAAGGCGACGAUCCGUAGCUGGUCUGAGAGGAUGAUCAGCCACACUGGAACUGAGACACGGUCCAGACUCCUACGGGAGGCAGCAGUGGGGAAUAUUGGACAAUGGGCGCAAGCCUGAUCCAGCCAUACCGCGUGGGUGAAGAAGGCCUUCGGGUUGUAAAGCCCUUUUGUUGGGAAAGAAAAGCAGCAGGUUAAUACCCCGCUGUUCUGACGGUACCCAAAGAAUAAGCACCGGCUAACUUCGUG
rnacentral:rRNA from 1 species